rnacentral:rRNA from 1 species
CAGUCGCCACGGGAAUACGGAGGGUGCAAGCGUUAAUCGGAAUUACUGGGCGUAAAGCGCACGCAGGCGGUCUGUCAAGUCGGAUGUGAAAUCCCCGGGCUCAACCUGGGAACUGCAUUCGAAACUGGCAGGCUAGAGUCUUGUAGAGGGGGGUAGAAUUCCAGGUGUAGCGGUGAAAUGCGUAGAGAUCUGGAGGAAUACCGGUGGCGAAGGCGGCCCCCUGGACAAAGACUGACGCUCAGGUGCGAAAGCGUGGGGAGCAAACAGGAUUAGAUACCCGCGUAGUCCCUGUCUCUUAUAC